AGAGUUUGAUCCUGGCUCAGGACGAACGCUGGCGGCGCGCCUAACACAUGCAAGUCGAACGGAGCUUAGAGAGCUUGCUUUUUAAGCUUAGUGGCGAACGGGUGAGUAACGCGUGAGUAACCUGCCCUAGAGUGGGGGACAACAGUUGGAAACGACUGCUAAUACCGCAUAAGCCCACGGUACCGCAUGGUACUGAGGGAAAAGGAUUUAUUCGCUUUAGGAUGGACUCGCGUCCAAUUAGCUAGUUGGUGAGGUAACGGCCCACCAAGGCGACGAUUGGUAGCCGGACUGAGAGGUUGAACGGCCACAUUGGGACUGAGACACGGCCCAGACUCCUACGGGAGGCAGCAGUGGGGGAUAUUGCACAAUGGGGGAAACCCUGAUGCAGCGACGCCGCGUGGAGGAAGAAGGUUUUCGGAUUGUAAACUCCUGUCGUUAGGGACGAUAAUGACGGUACCUAACAAGAAAGCACCGGCUAACUACGUGCCAGCAGCCGCGGUAAAACGUAGGGUGCAAGCGUUGUCCGGAAUUACUGGGUGUAAAGGGAGCGCAGGCGGGAAGACAAGUUGGAAGUGAAAACCAUGGGCUCAACCCAUGAAUUGCUUUCAAAACUGUUUUUCUUGAGUAGUGCAGAGGUAGAUGGAAUUCCCGGUGUAGCGGUGGAAUGCGUAGAUAUCGGGAGGAACACCAGUGGCGAAGGCGGUCUACUGGGCACCAACUGACGCUGAGGCUCGAAAGCAUGGGUAGCAAACAGGAUUAGAUACCCUGGUAGUCCAUGCCGUAAACGAUGAUUACUAGGUGUUGGGGGAUUGACCCCCUCAGUGCCGCAGUUAACACAAUAAGUAAUCCACCUGGGGAGUACGACCGCAAGGUUGAAACUCAAAGGAAUUGACGGGGGCCCGCACAAGCAGUGGAGUAU
rnacentral:rRNA from 1 species